rnacentral:rRNA from 1 species
AGUGAACGCUGGCGGUAGGCCUAACACAUGCAAGUCGAACGGCAGCACAGUAAGAGCUUGCUCUUACGGGUGGCGAGUGGCGGACGGGUGAGGAAUACAUCGGAAUCUACUUUUUCGUGGGGGAUAACGUAGGGAAACUUACGCUAAUACCGCAUACGACCUACGGGUGAAAGCAGGUGAUCUUCGGACCUUGCGCGAUUGAAUGAGCCGAUGUCGGAUUAGCUAGUUGGCGGGGUAAAGGCCCACCAAGGCGACGAUCCGUAGCUGGUCUGAGAGGAUGAUCAGCCACACUGGAACUGAGACACGGUCCAGACUCCUACGGGAGGCAGCAGUGGGGAAUAUUGGACAAAGGGCGCAAGCCUGAUCCAGCCAUACCGCGUGGGUGAAGAAGGACUUCGGGUUGUAAAGCCCUUUUGUUGGGAAAGAAAAGCAGCAGGUUAAUACCCCGCUGUUCUGACGGUACCCAAAGAAUAAGCACCGGCUAACUUCGUG